rnacentral:rRNA from 1 species
GUUUGAUCAUGGCUCAGAUUGAACGCUGGCGGUAGGCUUAACACAUGCAAGUCGUGCGAGAAAGUACCUUCGGGUGCGAGUAGAGCGGCGGACGGGUGAGUAACGCGUAGGAAUCUACCUAAUAGAAGGGGAUAGCCCGGGGAAACUCGGAUUAAUACCGUAUACCUCCUUAGGGAGAAAGAGGGCUUAGCUUUGAUGCUCUCGCUAUUAGAUGAGCCUGCGUAAGAUUAGCUUGUUGGUGAGGUAAUGGCUCACCAAGGCGACGAUCUUUAGCUGGUCUGAGAGGACGAUCAGCCACAUUGGGACUGAGACACGGCCCAGACUCCUACGGGAGGCAGCAGUGGGGAAUAUUGGACAAUGGGCGCAAGCCUGAUCCAGCCAUACCGCGUGUGUGAAGAAGGCUUUCGGGUUGUAAAGCACUUUAAGUAAGGAGGAAAAGAUUGUAGUUAAUACCUGCAAUCCGUGACGUUACUUACAGAAUAAGGACCGGCUAAUUCCGUGCCAGCAGCCGCGGUAAUACGGAAGGUCCAAGCGUUAAUCGGAAUUACUGGGCGUAAAGCGCGCGUAGGUGGUUUUUUAAGUUGGAUGUGAAAGCCCUGGGCUCAACCUAGGAACUGCAUCCAAAACUAGAUGACUAGAGUACGAAAGAGGGAAGUAGAAUUCACAGUGUAGCGGUGGAAUGCGUAGAUAUUGUGAAGAAUACCAAUGGCGAAGGCAGCUUCCUGGUUCUGUACUGACACUGAGGUGCGAAAGCGUGGGUAGCGAACAGGAUUAGAUACCCUGGUAGUCCACGCCGUAAACGAUGGGCACUAAGCGUCCGACGGGUUCGACCCUGUUGGGUGCUGCAGUUAACGCGUUAAGUGCCCCGCCUGGGGAGUACGGUCGCAAGACUAAAACUCAAAGGAAUUGACGGGGGCCCGCACAAGCGGUGGAGCAUGUGGCUUAAUUCGAGGCAACGCGAAGAACCUUACCUGGUCUUGACAUGCCCGUCAUAGUUUUCCGAAAGGAAUUCGUCAGUUAGGCUGGACGGUGCACAGGUGCUGCAUGGCUGUCGUCAGCUCGUGUCGUGAGAUGUUCGGUUAAGUCCGGCAACGAGCGCAACCCUUGCCCUCAGUUGCCAGCAGUUCGGCUGGGCACUCUGGGGGGACUGCCGGUGACAAGCCGGAGGAAGGUGGGGAUGACGUCAAGUCCUCAUGGCCUUUAUAUCCAGGGCUACACACGUGUUACAAUGGGGGUCACAAAGGGCAGCGAAACGGUGACGUGGAGCGAAUCCCAAAAAAGCCCUCUCAGUUCGGAUCGCAGUCUGCAACUCGACUGCGUGAAGCUGGAAUCGCUAGUAAUCGCGGAUCAGCACGCCGCGGUGAAUACGUUCCCGGGCCUUGUACACACCGCCCGUCACACCAUGGGAGUUGACAGGGGCAGAAGCCGCCGAGCCAACCUUCGGGAGGCAGGCGUCCAAGCUCCGGUUGAUGACUGGGGUGAAGUCGUAACAAGGUAACCGUA